UACGUAGGGCGCAAGCGUUGUCCGGAAUUAUUGGGCGUAAAGAGCUCGUAGGCGGUUUGUCGCGUCUGCCGUGAAAGUCCGGGGCUCAACUCCCGGAUCUGCGGUGGGUACGGGCAGACUAGAGUGAUGUAGGGGAGACUGGAAUUCCUGGUGUAGCGGUGAAAUGCGCAGAUAUCAGGAGGAACACCGAUGGCGAAGGCAGGUCUCUGGGCGAUUAACUGACGCUGAGGAGCGAAAGCAUGGGGAGCGAACAGG
rnacentral:rRNA from 1 species